rnacentral:rRNA from 1 species
CCUACGGGAGGCAGCAGUGGGGAAUAUUGGACAAUGGGCGCAAGCCUGAUCCAGCAAUACCGCGUGUGUGAAGAAGGCCUGAGGGUUGUAAAGCACUUUCAAUGGGGAGGAAAACCUACCGGCCAAUACCCGGUGGCUUGACAUUACCCAUACAAGAAGCACCGGCUAACUCCGUGCCAGCAGCCGCGGUAAUACGGAGGGUGCGAGCGUUAAUCGGAAUUACUGGGCGUAAAGCGUGCGUAGGCGGCCCGCCAAGCCAGAUGUGAAAGCCCCGGGCUCAACCUGGGAACUGCAUUUGGAACUGACGGGCUAGAGUUGGGUAGAGGGGGGCGGAAUUUCAGGUGUAGCGGUGAAAUGCGUAGAGAUCUGAAGGAACACCAGUGGCGAAGGCGGCCCCCUGGACCCAAACUGACGCUGAGGCACGAAAGCGUGGGUAGCAAACAGGAUUAGAUACCCUGGUAGUCCACGCCGUAAACGAUAGCCGACUAGCCGUUGGCCCUAUAUACAGGGUUAGUGGCGCGAGCUAACGCAUUAAGUCGGCCGCCUGGGGAGUACGGCCGCAAGGUUAAAACUCAAAGAAUUGAACGG